rnacentral:rRNA from 1 species
AUUGAACGCUGGCGGCAUGCUUUACACAUGCAAGUCGAACGGUAACAGGGAGCUUGCUCCGCUGACGAGUGGCGAACGGGUGAGUAAUAUAUCGGAACGUACCCAAGAGUGGGGGAUAACGUAGCGAAAGUUACGCUAAUACCGCAUACGAUCUAUGGAUGAAAGCAGGGGACCUUCGGGCCUUGUGCUCCUGGAGCGGCCGAUAUCUGAUUAGCUAGUUGGUGAGGUAAAGGCUCACCAAGGCGACGAUCAGUAGCUGGUCUGAGAGGACGACCAGCCACACUGGAACCGAGACACGGUCCAGACUCCUACGGGAGGCAGCAGUGGGGAAUUUUGGACAAUGGGCGCAAGCCUGAUCCAGCAAUGCCGCGUGAGUGAAGAAGGCCUUCGGGUUGUAAAGCUCUUUUGUCAGGGAAGAAACGGCUGUGGCUAAUAUCCACGGCUAAUGACGGUACCUGAAGAAUAAGCACCGGCUAACUACGUGCCAGCCGCCGCGGUAA